UACGUAGGGUGCAAGCGUUAAUCGGAAUUACUGGGCGUAAAGCGUGCGCAGGCGGUUUUGUAAGUCUGACGUGAAAUCCCCGGGCUCAACCUGGGAAUUGCGUUGGAGACUGCAAGGCUAGAAUCUGGCAGAGGGGGGUAGAAUUCCACGUGUAGCAGUGAAAUGCGUAGAGAUGUGGAGGAAUACCGAUGGCGAAGGCAGCCCCCUGGGACGUGACUGACGCUCAUGCACGAAAGCGUGGGGAGCAAACAGGG
rnacentral:rRNA from 1 species